rnacentral:rRNA from 1 species
UACCAGCUCUCCGAGUGGUGUGGAUGUUUAUUGGGCCUAAAGCAUCCGUAGCUGGCUGGACAAGUCCCCUGUUAAAUCCACCGAUUUAAUCGUUGGUGUGCGGGGGAUACUGUCCGGCUAGGGGACGGGAGAGGCAGACGGUAUUUUCGGGGUAGGGGUGAAAUCCUAUAAUCCCGGGAAGACCACCAGUGGCGAUGGCUGUCUGCUAGAACGCGCCCGACGGUGAGGGAUGAAAGCUGGGGGAGCGAACCGGAUUAGAUACCCGGGUAGUCCCAGCUGUAAACGAUGCAGGCUAGGUGUCUGGACGGCCACGUGCCGUUCUAGUGCCGCAGGGAAGCCAUUAAGCUCGCCGCCUGGGAAGUACGGCCGCAAGGCUGAAACUUAAAGGAAUUGGCGGGGAGCACUACAAGGCGUGAAGCUUGCGGUUC